CCUACGGGAGGCAGCAGUGAGGAAUUUUGCUCAAUGCGCGUAAGCGUGAAGCAGCGACGCCGCGUGCAUGACGAAGGCCUUCCGGGCGUAAAGUUCUUUCUGCAGGGCAGAAAAUGCCUAUAAGUAACUGUGUCUGUAUUGACCGUGCCUAUAUAAGCAGCCCCGGCUACCUCCGUGCCCGCAGCCGAGGUAAUACGGAGGGGGCGUGAGUUGGUAGGAUUUGCUGGGAGUAAUGCGCACGCAGGGUGUGUGGUAAGUCAUUAGGCAAAGAAUAGAGCUCAACUUUAGUAAGGUGAGUGAGACUAUAAGCCUAGAGGAUGAGAGAGGAGGGCAGAAUGCCUGGUGUAGCGGUGAAAUGCGUAGAUAUCAGGAGGAACACCGUUAGCGAAGGCGGCAAUCUGGCGGGAAACUGACGCUGAGGUGCGAAAGUGUGGGUAGCAAACAGGAUUAGAUACCCUUGUAGUC
rnacentral:rRNA from 1 species